CCUCUUCCUGUGUCAUUUCUAGAAGCAGAAGUUUCUGAGAUGUGAAGAUUAGAUGUGUAUGGAAAGAAUAGACCCAGCAGGGCCUCAGUCAUGCCUGCCUCUCCACACUGCUGGGAGUCUGAUUUCAGCUUGUCCAGAUCUGUGCAGAUUUUUCCUGUGAUGGCCACGGUCAGAUUCCUACAUGAAAAUCAGUUCUCUCACCAAAUGUAGAGUCUUUUCAGGCUGACUGGAGAAGCACAUCUCCUCAAAGAACAGAUGACAGUAUAUUUUUUAUCACUUAUUUCUGAAACAGUGUAAUAGAAAAAUCUUCCAAAUA